rnacentral:rRNA from 1 species
CCCUAAACAUAUAUUUUUCCCAUACAUAAAAAUCCGCCAGAGGAAUUUCCAACCACGAAUUGGAAACUCAAGGGAUUUGGGGGUGUUUCAAACCCAACUAGAGGAGCCUGUUCUUCAACCGAUUAUCCACGAUUUACCUCACCACCCCUAGCCAAUCAGCCUAUAUACCUCCGUCUUCAGCCUACCUUAUGAAAGACAAAAGUAGGCACAAUAGUCACAAAAACACUAACAAAUCAGGUCAAGUUGUANCCAUUNAGGUGGAAGAAAUGGGCUACAUUUUCUUCCAUAGUCAUACCCCCUAACGGAUUGGAUCAUGAAACCAAUCCCCAAAAAGCAGGAUAUAUCAGUAAUGUAAGAAUAGAGAGCUUACAUUAAUCAGGACCUGAGAC